AGUAUUUUGACUAUACAAAGGUAUUGAAAUAAGACUUUAAUUGAGUGCUAAGAGAAUGGAAUUUCAUAAAAUUUCUUUUUUAAUUUUAAAAAUUGAAAUUAAUUUUAUAUGUGAAGAAACAAUAAUAAAAAUUAAGGACAAGAAGACCCUAAGAAUUUUAAAAAUUUCAAUAAAAUGCUGUAUUUUAUUGAAAUUUUUUAAUUGGGGCGAUUAUUAAAUAUUAAAAACUUUAAUUUUUUUAAAAAAAGAACCAAUAAUAUUGGUUAUUUGAAAAAAUACUCUAGGGAUAACAGCGUAAUAAUUUUUGAUAGUUCUUAUAGACAAAAUAGUUUGCGACCUCGAUGUUGGAUUAGGAUUCUUUUUUAAUGAAGAAGUUAAAAAAAGAAGUUUGUUCAACUUUUAAAAUCCU
rnacentral:rRNA from 1 species